rnacentral:rRNA from 1 species
UACGGAGGAUCCAAGCGUUAUCCGGAUUUAUUGGGUUUAAAGGGUGCGUAGGCGGCCUAUUAAGUCAGGGGUGAAAGACGGUAGCUUAACUAUCGCAGUGCCUUUGAUACUGAUGGGCUUGAAUGAACUAGAGGUAGGCGGAAUGUGACAAGUAGCGGUGAAAUGCAUAGAUAUGUCACAGAACACCAAUUGCGAAGGCAGCCUACUAUGGUUUUAUUGACGCUGAGGCACGAAAGCGUGGGGAUCAAACAGG